GGCUCUGUGGCGCAAUGGAUAGCGCAUUGGACUUCUAGGCUGUAAGCUGAGCCAUUCAAAGGUUGUGGGUUCAAGUCCCACCAGAGUCG
rfam:Danio rerio chromosome 2, GRCz11 reference primary assembly.